UCUGUGUUGAGAGGGGAGGCCGCUGCGGGCAGGAAAUGCAGCCGGGGCAAAGAGCAGUACAAUCCCGGGACGGAGAUGCGGGAAGGAGGGAGGCGGGAGGUGGAAUUUCCCACUGAGAGAAUUACGUUUGUCCGAAUAUUUGUUUUUGAAAAAGCUCUCCAGGAAGUUAAGGGCAAACUGUCCCUGCGCUGUCUGUGGAAAAUGCGCCUCGCAUUAGUAAAGAACCUCCUCGAAUGCGGGAACUUCAGGGCUGGUGUUAAGAAGAAAUGUUUGUUUUGGAACUAGUGAAUAUCAGCCAGAGUCGCAACAAGUCCGAAUAGAUGCAAAAAACGGAUGGGGUCCCAAAUCCUGAACCUUAUGAAACAAUGGAUCGUCCGUCCAGUGUGUAAUAGCAAGGCGCAGUCCGUGAGGACGCGUGCCAGAGGUGUCAGCAAACGCAACAGAAGAGUCCAGUGACACAUAAAGACGUACCGAUUUAUUGUGGCUUUCUUGAUGAAGUGGGCUCUGGCCCAUGAAAGCCUUUGCCGAUAAAUCUGUUAAGUCUUGAUUAAAGAGUUAGAGAACUUCCUCUCUCUUCAUGAUAUUAAGGUAUCUCCUAAAAUAACAAGUUUCUGGGUACCUGGCUGAGAAUAUAACACCAAUCGCUUUGGAGCUUCUUCCUGACUGCCCGUUGAACAAACGGAAGGGCAAACAGCGUAAGACCAGGAAAUAUCCAGAACAAAGAUCUUGCACCAGGGACUCCACCCUUCAGGGAUUAUUGACUCCAUAUAUGUCCCCUUGAAGGUCAAUGCACUUUUCCCAGCGGUGCUCCAGUGCAUGGAUUCCAAGAAGAAGAAAAAUUCCUCCUGCUUCCCAAACCACUCACCCACAGCACUCGUCACUUCAUCAUUGCUUGAAAAAUUUGGUUUCCUAUGGGUGUCCUUCAUGUUUUUGGAGAGGUAGAAGUCACUGCGGAGGUAGAAGAAAGGUAGAAGUCGUUUGCCAUGCUGUUCAUUUUUGUUAGCCUGUCAUAAUUUCCCAAUCAACUGUGCAUAAUAGUCACCAGUGAUCCACGGUGGAGACAGUUGAUCAUCGAAAAUCCUUGCCUGCUGACUGUGAAAUAUGAAAUUUCAUCAGAGGUGUUGAAGAUGUGUGUUUCCGUGCCAUAUUCUGCUGGUUUGUGUCAGGAUCGAAAUGGUGAAUCCAUGUUUCAUCCAUGGUAACAUAUCAAAACUCAAAGUCUGCAAGAUCUCGUCUGAACUGUUCUCAAGGUUGUGAUGAAUCUCACAAUCGAAUUGCCUUUUGCUACUCCGUCAAAAUUCAUGGCACCCAUCUUGCAGAAACCUUUUUCAGCUUGCGAUGUUCGUUCAAAAUUGAUUGUGUAUUGCCAUAUGAAAUGCCAAGAGUGUCAAAAAUAUAUCUGAUAAUCAAUCGCC